rnacentral:rRNA from 1 species
UUGGAGGGCAAGUCUGGUGCCAGCAGCCGCGGUAAUUCCAGCUCCAAUAGCGUAUAUUUAAGCUGUUGCAGUUAAAAAGCUCGUAGUUGAAUUUCGGGAUCAGAGUGUCGGUCGUGCCUCGGUACGCACUGGUAUUAUUGGUUCCUACCUUCUGAAGAACCGCGAUGUCAUUAAUUUGGUGUCGUGGGGAAUCAGGACUGUUACUUUGAAAAAAUUAGAGUGUUUAAAGCAGGCUUACGCUUGAAUACAUUAGCAUGGAAUAAUGAAAUAGGACGUUUGAUUCUAUUUUGUUGGUUUCUAGGAUUGACGUAAUGAUUAAUAGGGAUAGUUGGGGGCAUUAGUAUUCAAUUGUCAGAGGUGAAAUUCUUGGAUUUAUUGAAGACUAACUACUGCGAAAGCAUUUGCCAAGGAUGUUUUCAUUAAUCAAGAACGAAAGUUAGGGGAUCGAAGACGAUCAGAUACCGUCGUAGUCUUAACCAUAAACUAUGCCGACUAGGGAUCGGAUGAUGUUAAUUUUUUAAUGACCCAUUCGGCGCCUUACGGGAAACCAAAGUGUUUGGGUUC